rnacentral:rRNA from 1 species
UACGAAGGGGGCUAGCGUUGCUCGGAUUGACUGGGCGUAAAGGGCGCGUAGGCGGUUUGCUUAGUCAGACGUGAAAUUCCUGGGCUUAACCUGGGGGCUGCGUUUGAUACAUGCAGGCUUGAGUUCGGAAGAGGGUCGUGGAAUUCCCAGUGUAGAGGUGAAAUUCGUAGAUAUUGGGAAGGACACCGGUGGCGAAGGCGGCGACCUGGUCCGAUACUGACGCUGAGGCGCGAAAGCGUGGGGAGCAAACAGG